rnacentral:lncRNA from 1 species
CCGACAUUUUAUGUUAGCUGAAAGCGUGAGAAUAGGUUCUCAACUUUAUUUUACUGUCCUCCUUGUUUCCUCUCCAAAUAUGCUGGUGAAUGAAAGAGAAAGAGAGAAGGACAAUCGCCUUGACACUUUGAGAACCGCGAGAAAGGACGGAGAGACUCGAGCGGUUUGACCGCCAUGGUGGGUGCUCGGGUCCGUUGGCUGGACAGUUGGAAAGUUUUUUCUUGCCUCUGUUUCUGUCGAGAAGUGUAAAUUUCUCUGUUCUGUUCACCACAUGUCUUUCGUCGGCUUCGUUGGGGACUCUCUGCUUGCAGUAUAGACUCCAUAAAGGAAGGCGAAGGGACAGCACACUCGCGGGUGUGACACGGGCGCUCGAACGCCGGAAGUCCCCGAAACUUUUUCUUCUUUCGGAUGGCAGUUUCCUCUGUCUUUUAAGUCGUGGAAAGUGCGCCACGAAGGGCAUGAGAGACCUCCCGAUUUCCCGGUGUCUUUAUUCAGAGUGGUGAAAUGUCUGGAUCUUCCAAAGGACUCUCUCCAGUUCUGGUUCGCUGAAUCCGACGAGUCUUCGGUUGAUUUCAUGGCAAAAGAACGGAUGAUGAUUUUCGACAUUUGUUUCAUACAACAUUUCUCUGCUCCAUUCAUGCAUACAGGUGUACAUUCGCGCUUAUGGAAUCUACUUGGAGGAAAGUGUAUUCCCCUUCUCUUGGUCCACGGUAUUAUGGAUCUGCGCGUUGCUGCAUCCUCAAGAAGUCCCGCUGACCGGGUUCUCCUUUAUUGCAGCUUCUGAAAUCACCUUCUCGAUGCCGCGAAACGUCUCCUCGAUCGAACUGCCUCUCCUCACUUCAGUUAAUUCAGCAAUGCUUUCAGCUGGUUUUCUACAUGCACGGGAUUUCGCACUUCUCUCUCCUGUCUACGACAGUCUUGAACCCGUGGAACUUCUCUGCAGAGAGUCGGCAC